ACACCGUUGGUGAAGUGGUUAUCAUGCUUGCCUUCCGUCGAUUCUGUUCAUCAAAGAUUAGCAAGCGGCUCGGGUUCAAUUCCCGCCCGGUGUA